UACGGAGGGUGCAAGCGUAAUACGGAAUCACUGGGUUUAAAGGGUGCGUAGGCGGCUUGAUAAGUCAGGGGUGAAAGCCCGCAGCUUAACUGCGGAACUGCCUUUGAUACUGUCGAGCUUGAAAGAGGUUGAGGUCAGCGGAACGUGACAUGUAGCGGUGAAAUGCAUAGAUAUGUCACAGAACACCGAUUGCGAAGGCAGCUGGCUGGACCUACUUUGACGCUGAGGAACGAAAGCGUGGGGAGCGAACAGG
rnacentral:rRNA from 1 species